UGAUAAUAUAAGCGACAGGUGGCUACGCCGCUGCGCUAUUUACAUACGGGUCUUUGCGACCUCGUUUGAGACCGUGUGCAGUUAGAAUUGUACAUUGCCUCGUGUGAAGAUUAUCGGUUAUGGCAGGCGCGUGUGUUCUACAGAGUUCAAGUGCACAGUUAAUUGGAUACUGCUCGAGAGAUUAAGGUUGCAAAGGCGUGCAUGGAAUGGCGUGCCUUCAUAGCGGCCUGUUUCUACAGGAAGAAAGUGAUUGGCAGUACGGAAUUUGAAGAUAUUUUGGGACUCAUCCGGGUGAAUUUUAAUCAGGUCAGAUGCACUAUUCGCGACAAUGACGGUGUCAUCUGCAUACAACAGGACCAGAAGCUUAAGCCACGAUAUUGCAGUAUCUGGGUUGAUAAGUUCAACCCCAACGGAUCCAUUUAUAUGCAGGUUGUACAGUAGAGAUGUCCCAUGAUAGCACAUUGUGACCAUCUGAAAAUAAAGGGUUUGUGGCACAAUGUCUUCCCCCGGGGGCCUAGCGAGCUCUCCCCGGGUUAGGCGUGUUUCUGGAUCCAGGUGUGUCCCAGGGGCGCUGUAUCAUCGGUUGAGACUGCGAUGAGCUAAUCUGUUGGGCCGUUUCCUGAUGGCGGUGUGGGAUUUCCCUACGAGGUGCGUGUGGGCGAGGAUUCCUCCUCCUGGAAGGCGAUGGCGACUGUUGUUUCCGCGGGGUCCUGUGCUCAAGAACAGGGGAUUGAUUUCGCUGGCUACGAUCCUGCGAUACAGCUUUGUUUGAGUUGACGGACUGGGCACGAGGAGCUCGUGAUAUUGCUGGCUGUGUAUUUGGUUUAUUUACAUUGCUAGCUGAGGCAUACUG